rnacentral:misc_RNA from 1 species
GUAGGUGAACCUGUGGAAGGAUCAUUAUCACAAGAAUCAAUGUAUAAACUAUUGUGCAUUGUCACCUAGGUUGAAUUCUGACAUGUAACAAUUGAAACCCCUUUUAAACUUUGAACUAAAGUUUCAUACUCCAAUAAAACGGAGAUGAAAUUCUUACGAAACAAAGAACAACUCUUAGCAACGGAUAUCUUGGUUCUC